AUUGAACGCUGGCGGCAGGCCUAACACAUGCAAGUCGAGCGGGGUUUUCGGACCUAGCGGCGGACGGGUGAGUAAUGCGUAGGAAGCUACCCGAUAGAGGGGGAUACCAGUUGGAAACGACUGUUAAUACCGCAUAAUGUCUACGGACCAAAGUGUGGGACCUUCGGGCCACAUGCUAUCGGAUGCGCCUACGUGGGAUUAGCUAGUUGGUGAGGUAAUGGCUCACCAGGGCGACGAUCCCUAGCUGGUUUGAGAGGAUGAUCAGCCACACUGGAACUGAGACACGGUCCAGACUCCUACGGGAGGCAGCAGUGGGGAAUAUUGGACAAUGGGCGCAAGCCUGGUCCAGCCAUGCCGCGUGUGUGAAGAAGGCCUUCGGGUUGUAAAGCACUUUCAGUAGGGAGGAAGCGUUGAGUGUUAAUAGUACUCAGCGUUGACGUUACCUACAGAAGAAGCACCGGCUAACUCUGUGCCAGCAGCCGCCGCGG
rnacentral:rRNA from 1 species